CAGCAGCCGCGGUAAUACCGGCGGCCCGAGUGGCGGUCACUAUUAUUGGGCUUAAAACGUCCGUAGCCGGGUUGGGAAGUCCUCCGGGAAAUCUGGCCGCUUAACGGUCAGAAUGCCGGAGGAUACUCCCAGCCUAGGGAGCGGGAGAGGCCGAGGGGAUUCCCGGAGUAGGGGUGAAAUCCUAUAAUCCCGGGAGGACCACCUGUGGCGAAGGCGCUCGGCUGGAACGCGUCCGACGGUGAGGGACGAAGGCCAGGGGAGCAAACCGGAUUAGAUACCCGGGUAGUCCUGGCUGUAAACGAUGCGGACUUUGUGUCGGACAAGCUAUGAGCUUGUCCGGUGCCGGAGGGAAACCGUUAAGUCCGUCGCCUGGGGAGUACGGCCGCAAGGCUGAAACUUAAAGGAAUUGGCGGG
rnacentral:rRNA from 1 species